rnacentral:rRNA from 1 species
AGCAGCCGCGGUAAUUCCAGCUCCAAUAGCGUAUAUUAAAGUUGUUGCAGUUAAAAAGCUCGUAGUUGAAUUUCGGGAUCAAUUUAUCGGUCGUGCCAAUGGUAUGAACUGGUACAAUUGGUUUCUCCCUUCUGACGAAGCAUGAUGUCAUUAAUUUGGUGUCGUGGGGAAUCAGGACUGUUACUUUGAAAAAAUUAGAGUGUUUAAAGCAAGCAUUAGCUUGAAUACAUUAGCAUGGAAUAAUGAAAUAGGACGUUUGAUCCUAUUUCGUUGGUUUCUAGGAUCGACGUAAUGAUCAAUAGGGAUAGUUGGGGGCAUUAGUAUUCAAUUGUCAGAGGUGAAAUUCUUGGAUUUAUCGAAGACUAACUACUGCGAAAGCAUUUGCCAAGGAUGUUUUCAUUAAUCAAGAACGAAAGUUAGGGGAUCGAAGACGAUCAGAUACCGUCGUAGUCUUAACCAUAAACUAUGCCGACUAGGGAUCGGAUGAUGUUAAUUUUUUAAUGACUCA